rnacentral:rRNA from 1 species
GACGAACGCUGGCGGCGUGCCUAAUACAUGCAAGUUGAGCGAUGAAGAUUGGUGCUUGCACCAUUUUGAAGAGCAGCGAACGGGUGAGUAACGUGUGGGGCAUCUGCCUUUGAGCGGGGGACAACAUUUGGAAACGAAUGAUAAUACCGCAUAAUAACUUUAAACAUAAGUUUUAAGUUUGAAAGAUGCAAUUGCAUCACUCAAAGAUGAUCCCGCGUUGUAUUAGCUAGUUGGUGAGGUAAAGGCUCACCAAGGCGAUGAUACAUAGCCGACCUGAGAGGGUGAUCGGCCACAUUGGGACUGAGACACGGCCCAAACUCCUACGGGAGGCAGCAGUAGGGAAUCUUCGGCAAUGGACGAAAGUCUGACCGAGCAACGCCGCGUGAGUGAAGAAGGUUUUCGGAUCGUAAAACUCUGUUGGUAGAGAAGAACGUUGGUGAGAGUGGAAAGCUCAUCAAGUGACGGUAACUACCCAGAAAGGGACGGCUAACUACGUG